AUGCGUGAGAAUGAAGCCGAAUGUUCUCGACCUCUGCGCUCAUCCAGAUGCAAAGCAAAGCGGACGGCCGCCGGAGGCCGAGGCCGCGCGAGGGAGUAAAGAAGGCGAAGAGGCGACCACUCACCGACACCACCAACGCCCACACCUCCUCUUCUUUUCCCUCCCACCUGAAAAAUUCCAGAUCCAACUCCAAAUCUUCUGCCUCUCCAACUCCAAUCCCCGAAGGCACUUGCAUCCCUGGCGCAGAAGACGCGUCUGAACCUCCCAGGUCUCCUUUGAGAGAGAAUGAGUCGUUUCUUGAUUCCGGUGAAGGCACUAAUUGUGGUGAAUUAGAGACUUUGAUAGUUUAUUCGCGGAGUGUUGCAAAGGGUAAAAAGUCCAAAGGGAAAGAGCCUCAAACGACUUCAAGCUGCCCCCCAGUGGAAAGGAUCAGAAGUAGAAAUGAUGGAAAAUCAGUGGAUGGUUCAAAUACUAAUCGACAAAAGGCAUCUUCAGUUCCAUCAAAUAAACCUAAAAAGAAGCAGCGAUGUGAAGGACCUGAUGCUGAUUUUCUUGAGAAGCAAAAGGCCUACUUUGAAGAGGUCGAUGCUUUUGAACUCCCCGUAGAGUUUGUCACAGAGAUAGAUCUUGAAUAGGACUAACUGAACCAUACUACCAAUUUAACCCUGGCACUUUGUAUAGUUGCCGGCAUCAGAACCUGAAAGCAGCUCAUUGUAAAUCGACAAGGCAUUUUAGAACUUUACAUCCGCACUAUUUGAUGACGAAGAUAACUUAAAAAGAGGAUCUGGAUUGAGCGAAUGAGGUCAGUCUAUGAGGUAUCGACUAUUGCUGGUUUAGGGAAGUGAGGAAUAGUGUUGAAGUCUAGGGGUCCUUCAACAUUGUUUUAGAAGGGUAUAUGUGGAUGUUAAUAUAUGUCACCUCUUUAAACAUAUAUGUGAAGGGUAUAUUUGGAUGUUAAUAUAUGUCACCUCAUUAAACAUAUAUGUGAGCAGAUGCCACAUAUUUAUUAUAUUAAUUAAUAUAUUUAUAUUAAUUUUAAUAUUAAUUCUUA